CUUCAACGACCCCAGGAACAGCGGCUGUUCGCCGGUGCGCUCCUGGCCGUAGGUGGCGAGGAGGGCCUGCGCCUC
rnacentral:antisense_RNA from 1 species